AGAGUUUGAUCCUGGCUCAGGAUGAACGCUGGCGGCGUGCUUAACACAUGCAAGUCGAACGGGAAACUUUUCAUUGAAGCUUCGGCAGAUUUGGUCUGUUUCUAGUGGCGGACGGGUGAGUAACGCGUGGGUAACCUGCCUUAUACAGGGGGAUAACAACCAGAAAUGGUUGCUAAUACCGCAUAAGCGCACAGGACCGCAUGGUCCGGUGUGAAAAACUCCGGUGGUAUAAGAUGGACCCGCGUUGGAUUAGCUAGUUGGCAGGGUAACGGCCUACCAAGGCGACGAUCCAUAGCCGGCCUGAGAGGGUGAACGGCCACAUUGGGACUGAGACACGGCCCAGACUCCUACGGGAGGCAGCAGUGGGGAAUAUUGCACAAUGGGGGAAACCCUGAUGCAGCGACGCCGCGUGAAGGAAGAAGUAUCUCGGUAUGUAAACUUCUAUCAGCAGGGAAGAUAGUGACGGUACCUGACUAAGAAGCCCCGGCUAACUACGUGCCAGCAGCCGCGGUAAUACGUAGGGGGCAAGCGUUAUCCGGAUUUACUGGGUGUAAAGGGAGCGUAGACGGACUGGCAAGUCUGAUGUGAAAGGCGGGGGCUCAACCCCUGGACUGCAUUGGAAACUGUUAGUCUUGAGUGCCGGAGAGGUAAGCGGAAUUCCUAGUGUAGCGGUGAAAUGCGUAGAUAUUAGGAGGAACACCAGUGGCGAAGGCGGCUUACUGGACGGUAACUGACGUUGAGGCUCGAAAGCGUGGGGAGCAAACAGGAUAAGAUACCCUGGUAGUCCACGCCGUAAACGAUG
rnacentral:rRNA from 1 species